AGGUUAAGUAGUAUAAUAUGUACGUAUCACUUACAAUGAUAAGGAUCGUGAUCUUUCUUUUAAGCGACUUAACUU
rnacentral:tRNA from 1 species